GGGGCUGCUCUGGAUUCGACAGGAUUCAAUGAUGCUGGAGGUGCAUGCAGAGGUGCGGCUGGCCUCUUUAAAAAGCCGCAAAAAAAUAGUCGCAAACGACGAAAACUACGCACUAGCAGCUUAAUACCCUGCAUAGGCCCUUCCACUCAAGUUCUUUUCACUAACUGAGGUACGGAAGGUCAUACUAGUGAAAUAGCGAGGGAAACUUGUCUAAGGUUGAACCGCGAAAUAGUAUUAGGCCAGUCCGAAGGAACCCUGUUUGUCGGGGUCCAUAGGAUUAAACAAAUGACAAACUAAGCAUGUAGUACCAAAGGUUGACGCUUUCUGGACGCGGGUUCAAUUCCCGCCAGCUCCACCA
rfam:Glaciecola nitratireducens FR1064, complete genome.